UACGUAGGGUGCAAGCGUUGUCCGGAAUUAUUGGGCGUAAAGAGCUCGUAGGCGGCUUGUCACGUCUGCUGUGAAAACUCGGGGCUCAACCCCGAGCCUGCAGUGGAUACGGGCUAGCUAGAGUGCGGUAGGGGAGACUGGAAUUCCUGGUGUAGCGGUGAAAUGCGCAGAUAUCAGGAGGAACACCGGUGGCGAAGGCGGCUCACUGGCUCGUUUCUGACGCUCAGGCGCGACAGCGUGGGGAUCAAACAGG
rnacentral:rRNA from 1 species